UUAAUAAAUGUUGGCAUGCUAGGACUUAAGUUUAUUGGUGUUGGUUUGGUUGGGUUUAGGUUUUGAAGAGUUGAGGCAGCUCUAUUGUGUCGUUGAGUUCAACGACUUUGGGAAGUUGUCCUCCCUUGAGCUAAGGGUUAGUUUAAGGGUAAUUUGUUAUCCUUCAAUAUCUUGGUUUCUAAGGUUUUUAAUUGUGUGAUUUUAGGUGAUUUGUGAUUUUGUGAUUGGCUUGCCUUCGUUGUGUUGGGGGUUUUGCAGCAGGAUUUCUAGGUGAGUAAAUCUCACCAAGGUUCACUUUUGAACCAAAAAUUAUUUAUGGUCAUGUGAUGAUGAUAAUGAUGAUGAUGUGGGAUUUAAUAUUAUGCUUUUAAUUUUUUUAAGAACAUAUGAGCUUGAUCACCAACGGCUCAAAGGUAAGGUAAAAUAAAUUUCUUUAUGUGCUAUUUUGAGAUUCAUGUGAUCAUGAGUUUAUUGAUUAUUUAUAGAUUAUUCUUGUGGAAUAUCUAUAUUUUGUUCAGGUAAAUAUUUCCAUGUAAAAUGAUAGAAUUAAUGAUGUGAUAUUGUGUGGUUGAGAAUAAUGUUGUGAUAUUUUGAUUUUUUUAUAAAUAGCCAAACCGGGUUCCAAGUUCUUAAUUGGGUGAUUGGUUGCGGUUAAGUUGCUAUUUAUUAUUUUUGUGUUUGAUAUUAGACAGUCAAACCGGGUUCCAAGCCUUUGGCCGGGUGAUUGGUUGCGGUUAGGAAUAGAGCUCUAGUCCGUCUGUCAGUGUAGGUCAUGGGAGAUACUGUAUGGUAUCUGGGACCCAUGGGUACACAUAGUGUUGUUGUAGGUCAUGAGGGGUAUUUUAUUAAAUAUCUGGGACUCAUGGGUACAUUUCUUGGGUAAUGUGUUAGAUGUGUGGUUUUUAAUUAUUGAUCCAAUCUCUCUUGUGAAUAUUGGAUGUGAUUAAAUGUUGUGUUGUUUUUGAGUUUACUCAUACGAGCUUUUUAGCUUACCGGGUUUGUUAUUUACAACCCGGUGCACCAUUUCUUGGUGUAGGGGUUAGACCUGCAGGUGAGGAUCAGCAGGGUUGAGGUGGAGGCUUAGUGGCAGGGUUUUUUUUGUUGGGUUUUGGUUGUUCAUUGUAUAUUCUUUUUAUAUACACUGG
rnacentral:lncRNA from 1 species